UGGGGAAUAUUGGACAAUGGGCGAAAGCCUGAUCCAGCCAUGCCGCGUGUGUGAAGAAGGUCUUCGGAUUGUAAAGCACUUUAAGUUGGGAGGAAGGGCAUUAACCUAAUACGUUAGUGUUUUGACGUUACCGACAGAAUAAGCACCGGCUAACUCUGUGCCAGCAGCCGCGGUAAUACAGAGGGUGCAAGCGUUAAUCGGAAUUACUGGGCGUAAAGCGCGCGUAGGUGGUUCGUUAAGUUGGAUGUGAAAUCCCCGGGCUCAACCUGGGAACUGCAUUCAAAACUGACUGACUAGAGUAUGGUAGAGGGUGGUGGAAUUUCCUGUGUAGCGGUGAAAUGCGUAGUUAUAGGAAGGAACACCAGUGGCGAAGGCGACCACCUGGACUAAUACUGACACUGAGGUGCGAAAGCGUGGGGAGCAAACA
rnacentral:rRNA from 1 species